GGUUAACGCUGGCGGCGUGCCUAACACAUGCAAGUCGAACGGUUCUAAGCGCGAGCUUAGGAUAGUGGCGAACGGGUGAGUAAAAGGUAGGAAUCUACCCCUUGGACGGAGAUAGCUACUGGAAACGGUAGGUAAACUUCGAUAAGCCCGAGAGGGGAAAGUGGUGAGACAGCCGAGGGAUGAGCCUACUCUCCAUCAGGUAGUUGGUGAGAUAAAAGCUUACCAAGCCGAUGACGGAUAACCGGUGUGAGAGCAUGAACGGUCACAAGGGCACUGAGAGACGGGCCCUACUCCUACGGGAGGCAGCAGUGGGGAAUCUUGGACAAUGGGCGAAAGCCUGAUCCAGCGACGCCGCGUGGAGGAAGAAGUCCUUCGGGAUGUAAACUUCUGAACUAGCCGAAUAAAAGGCCUGUGGACACACAGGAGAAGAAAGUAGGCUAGGAAAAGUCCCGGCUAACUACGUGCCAGCAGCCGCGGUAAGACGUAGGGGGCAAGCGUUACCCGGAAUUACUGGGCGUAAAGGGGGCGUAGGCGGUAAAAGAAGUCAUCUGUGAAAACCUAUUGCUCAACGAUAGGCUAGCGGAUGAAACUGAAUUACUUGAGGGCACCAGAGGUAGACGGAAUUACCCGAGUAGGGGUGAAAUCCGCAGAUACGGGUAGGAACGCCGGUGGAGAAGUCGGUCUACUGGGGUGCACCAGACGCUGAGGCCCGAAAGCUAGGGGAGCAAACCGGAUUAGAUACCCGGGUAGUCCUAGCCGUAAACGAUGCUCACUAGUGUAGGGAGUGAUAAACUCUCUGUGCUGAAGCGAACGCGCUAAGUGAGCCGCCUGGGGAGUACGUCCGCAAGGAUG
rnacentral:rRNA from 1 species